rnacentral:rRNA from 1 species
UGGGGAAUCUUGCGCAAUGCGCGAAAGCGUGACGCAGCAACGCCGCGUGGGGGAAGAAGGCCUUCGGGUUGUAAACCCCUUUCAGGAGGGACGAAGGUGCGGCGGCGAACAGUCGACCGUACUGACGGUACCUCCACAAGAAGCCCCGGCUAACUACGUGCCAGCAGCCGCGGUAAUACGUAAGGGGGUAGCGUUGUCCGGAAUCAUUGGGCGUAAAGCGCGCGUAGGCGGCCCGGUAAGUCCGCUGUAAAAGUCCAGGGCUCAACCCUGGAACGCCGGUGGAUACUGUCGGGCUAGAGUCCGGAAGAGGCGAGUGGAAUUCCUGGUGUAGCGGUGGAAUGCGCAGAUAUCAGGAGGAACACCGAUGGCGAAGGCAGCUCGCUGGGACGGUACUGACGCUGAGGCGCGAAAGCGUGGGGAGCGAACAGG